rnacentral:rRNA from 1 species
UUCGCCCUUGGGCAAGUCUGGUGCCAGCAGCCGCGGUAAUUCCAGCUCCAAUAGCGUAUAUUAAAGUUGUUGUGGUUAAAAAGCUCGUAGUUGAACCUUGGGCCUGGCUGGCCGGUCCGCCUCACCGCGUGUACUGGUCCGGCCGGGCCUUUCCCUCUGUGGAACCCCAUGCCCUUCACUGGGUGUGGCGGGGAAACAGGACUUUUACUGUGAAAAAAUUAGAGUGCUCCAGGCAGGCCUAUGCUCGAAUACAUUAGCAUGGAAUAAUAGAAUAGGACGUGUGGUUCUAUUUUGUUGGUUUCUAGGACCGCCGUAAUGAUUAAUAGGGACAGUCGGGGGCAUCAGUAUUCAAUUGUCAGAGGUGAAAUUCUUGGAUUUAUUGAAGACUAACUACUGCGAAAGCAUUUGCCAAGGAUGUUUUCAUUAAUCAGGAACGAAAGUUAGGGGAUCGAAGACGAUCAGAUACCGUCGUAGUCUUAACCAUAAACUAUGCCAACUAGGGAUCGGACGGUGUUAUUUUUUGACCCGUUCGGCGCCUUACGGGAAAC